rnacentral:rRNA from 1 species
AUGGCUGAAGCAUUGCCACUUGGGCCUCAGCCUCAUAAGUCAGACCCGAACAGGUACCGAGGAGAGAAAAGAAGAAAAAAAGCCACCAGCGCCUCGCACGAGCACGACCCUGCCCCUCGAUCCCAUCUACACCUCCUUCCCGCCGCCACCUCCUGCCCCGCGCCGCCCGCCCCACACCGCCUCGAUCGGGACCGCGUCCCUCCCCAAACGACGGCAAUGAUGGAGGGCGCCGCCCAGCUCCUGGCCGACGGAUUCGCUGGCUCCCCGCACCUCGGGGCCAGCCCCUCCCCCGUGCCGAGUCGAGCAUCGACUUGGAGGCCCCUUGGGGCUGCCGCCGGUGCGGGAGUCCCGCGCGGCCGUGCGGGCUGGGGACCGAUUGGCGGGGCCCGUGGUGCGACGCUCGAUGGAUGGCCUGCACAGCGCGGACGACUGCUUCUCUCCCAGGAGGGCCAUAGGCAGAUUGGUUCUUUGGUGCGUUUUUCUGGGUGGGCGGCCUCGCUGAAUUGGUUGCCUUUGUUUUUCUGUGCCCGUCUGUGUCGUCGGAUUGGAUGGCGUCGGUGCCGCCGCAGCCACUACAUGUCGGAGCUGUUGCAGGAGCACCAGAAGCUUGUCCUGUUCACACAGGUGCUACCAAUCUGCAUCAAACUGUUGGGCCACCGUGAGAGCCUCGAUUCGCUCCCUCGCCGCCGCCCGGUCUACCAUUAUUGGCCUAGGUCUGAUUGCUUAUGUUUCUCUCUUGUUGAUGCAAACUUGCUCUGCUUGACUCUGUUUUGGCCUCAAGGCAUCUCACUUGUCACAUAUUGUUAUCAACUCAGAGAAGAAAAAGGUUCCAUGAGGGUGUCUAUUACAGAACUGGAGAAAGAGCUCGCCUACCAUGCAUGUUGCCUGUUAAUACCAUCCAAAUUUUCUGCAGUUAGCUCGGCAACUUCCAGCCCCCCACCGUCUUUCUUGACAGCCACGGCACCCAUCUUUUCGUCUAUGCCUCAUUGGAUGCACUUCCAUUUUUAUGCGGUGGAGCGUCAACGACCUCAGCGUGUUGCAGGAGAAGACCAUGAAUAUCGGCAAGAAAGAUGUAGGUUGAUCAAGGAAGGUGCAACACUGUGGUGUGAGUUGAACACAAGCAUGGCCUACAAUCUCGACGCCCACCAUCCAUGUGCCUUGCAAGCAGCAAUUGUUCACAUCCUUGAUAUUUGUCACUGCCCUCUUCUCAUCUAUCCCGACAGUCUCGGUGUCCAGGCAAGUUCACGUGCUCUGUUAGAGACCAACCCCAAUGUGUAUGCUACAACCACUGAAAGAAUUGCACUAUUACAUGAUCUGAUGAGGAAGAGAAAAGAGAGGAGGGAAUGGCAAAUGGAAUUGUGA